rnacentral:rRNA from 1 species
UACAGGGGGUGCAAACGUUGCUCGGAAUUACUGGGCGUAAAGGGCGCGUAGGCGGCCCGCUAAGUCGAACGUGAAAUCCCCGAGCUCAACUCGGGAACUGCGUCCGAUACUGGCGGGCUUGAAUCCGGGAGAGGGAUGCGGAAUUCCAGGUGUAGCGGUGAAAUGCGUAGAUAUCUGGAGGAACACCGGUGGCGAAGGCGGCAUCCUGGACCGGCAUUGACGCUGAGGCGCGAAAGCUAGGGGAGCAAACGGG